AUGUCGCUUAUACUUUACUUUUUUCCCCCUCUGCCCUUUCAAAAGUGGUUACUCCCGAUCCGAAGCACCCCUUUUCCAUUCAUAGAGAGAUCCAAUCGUCAAAAUCGUUUACUUGUAAGCUUUACUGGGUAUGCCUUAUAUACCGCGUUUGGGCAACCCUCUCAACAAUUAAGAGAUCCAUUCGAAGAACACGGAGACUAA
rnacentral:rRNA from 1 species